CCCAGCUGCCGCCAAGGUGCUCAGUCCUUCCAAGGGAGCUAAGGCCGCGUCUGGGGUGAGGCCCUCACUUCAUCCAGCGACUAGCACCACGUCCAGCAGCUCCAUCCCGCACUGGCCCUGCCAUGGCCUCCAUCUCCGAGCUUGCCUGCAUCUACUCAGCCCUCAUUCUGCAGGACGACGAGGUGACCAUCACAGAGGAUAAGAUCAACGCCCUCAUUAAGGCCACUGGUGUGACUGUGGAGCCUUUCUGGCCUUCUUUACAAAGGCCUUGGCCAACGUCAUCUGCUCUGGGGAGAGGGAGCGGGGGAGUGGGCUGGUGCCCCACACCUGCAGCUGACGCUGCCCCAGCUGAGGAGAAGAAAGUGGAAGCAAAGAAAGAAGAAUCUGAGGAAUCUGAUGAUGACAUGGGCUUUAGUCUGUUUGACUAAAACUUUUAUAAUGUGUUCAAUAAACAGCUGAACU